GACGAACGCUGGCGGCGUGCUUAACACAUGCAAGUCGAACGGAAAGGCCCUGCGGUUGUGGGGUGCUCGAGUGGCGAACGGGUGAGUAACACGUGAGUAACCUGCCCUUGACUUUGGGAUAACUUCAGGAAACUGGGGCUAAUACCGGAUAGGAGCUCCCGCUGCAUGGUGGGGGAUGGAAAGUUUCGGCGGGUGGGGAUGGACUCGCGGCUUGUCAGCUUGUUGGUGGGGUAGUGGCUUACCAAGGCUUUGACGGGUAGCCGGCCUGAGAGGGUGACCGGCCACAUUGGGACUGAGAUACGGCCCAGACUCCUACGGGAGGCAGCAGUGGGGAAUAUUGCACAAUGGGCGGAAGCCUGAUGCAGCAACGCCGCGUGCGGGAUGACGGCCUUCGGGUUGUAAACCGCUUUCGCCUGUGACGAAGCGUGAGUGACGGUAAUGGGUAAAGAAGCACCGGCUAACUACGUG
rnacentral:rRNA from 1 species